UACGUAGGGGGCAAGCGUUGUCCGGAUUUAUUGGGCGUAAAGGGUGCGUAGGCGGUUUGGUAAGUCUGAUGUGAAAUCUAUGGGCUCAACUCAUAGUCUGCAUCGGAAACUGCCGGGCUUGAGUGUGGGAGAGGUGAGUGGAAUUCCCGGUGUAGCGGUGAAAUGCGUAGAGAUUAGGAAGAACACCAGUGGCGAAGGCGACUUACUGGACUGUAACUGACGCUGAGGCAUGAAAGCGUGGGGAGCAAACAGG
rnacentral:rRNA from 1 species